UAGGAGGCAUUACUUUCAGAGCAGCCCUCAUACACACAUUUUUGAAACUGCAGACAUAAAGAUUUACAUAAAAAGCCCAUGUACUAUUAAAUAUAUCUUAAUACUUUCCGCUAAUUGUGUCAGUUGAAAACCAGACCUUCUAUUUUACCAUCCCAAUUUCCUGCCCUCUUAUUCAGUUUUAUAUAACAGAAUGAAUAGUACAACCUGGAAAUCAGAUGGAGGGUAUCUGUUAUAGUGGCAGCAGUACGCGUAGAAUCUGAUGCAGAGGACCUAGAGAUUUCUGCACACUGAGUGAAAGCAGAAGUGUGGGCAGUGGCUCUACACCAAUCACGCUGAAGAUGAAAGCAGAUCAACUGCCCCCCUAUAGCAGCUGACCACAAACUUCAAAAGUCCACGUGCCAUCUGCAGGAUUGCACCAUGAGCAACAUGCUGCUGCUGCAACCAAAAGCAAAAUGAGUUUUAACUUGUGACUCACAUCAUCUGAUUCCCUG